GACGAACGCUGGCGGCGUGCUUAACACAUGCAAGUCGAACGAAGCACCUUGAAGUUUUCGGACAGAAGGGUGACUUAGUGGCGGACGGGUGAGUAACGCGUGGGUAACCUGCCUCACACAGGGGGAUAACACAGGGAAACCUGUGCUAAUACCGCAUAAAACUGCACUGUGGCAUCACAGAGUAGCCAAAGGAGCAAUCCGGUAAAAGAGGAGCCCGCGUCUGAUUAGCUAGUUGGUGAGGUAACGGCUCACCAAGUCGACGAUCCAUAGCCGGACUGAGAGGUUGAACGGCCACAUUGGAACUGAGAAACGGUCCAGACUCCUACGGGAGGCAGCAGUGGGGAAUAUUGGGCAAUGGGCGAAAAGCCUGACCCAGCGACGCCGCGUGCGGGAAGAAGGUCUUCGGAUUGUAAACCGCUUUGUGAGGGACGAUAAUGACGGUACCUCAUGAAUAAGCCACGGCUAACUACGUG
rnacentral:rRNA from 1 species